UGGACCCACCUGAUUCCAUCCCGAACUCAGAAGUGAAACGAAACAGCGUCGAUGGUAGUGUGGGGUCUCCCCAUGUGAGAGUAGAACAUCGC
rnacentral:rRNA from 1 species